CCUGCUCCCUGUGGCUGCCGAGUUCUCGGGAACAGCGGCUCGGCCUGCAAGGCUGUUGUUUCAAGAAAUGAAAAUGAAGGGCGCCCUGGAAUAGGUUCGCCGAAGAGAGAGCUUGCAGGCCUCUGGGAAGCAAGCCAUCGUGUGGCAGAGGCCCAGGUGGCAAGGAACCAAGGGCGGCUUCUGGCCAACAGCCAGCGAGGACCUGAGACCGUAGCCCAACACCCCUCCAGGAACUGAAUUUUGCCAGCAACCAGUGAGUGACCUUGGAAGUGGAUCCUUCCCCCGAAAGCCCGGCUUUCAGACGGAGGCUGGUGGGACCUCAACCCCAGCUGGUAUCCAGGCUCUUGACACCAUCUGGAGAAGGAAUUCAAGAGUGUGUCAGAAAAUGAUGAAAGUACAAAGAUUUAUUGCAAAGCGAAAAAUACACACUCAAGAAAGGGGAGUAUGGGUGGACUCAAGACAGAGUCCGAUGGGACUUGGGGUUUCUACCUUUUGGGUUUCUUUUUUUUUUUUUUUUGAUAUGGAGUCUCGCACUGUUGCCCAGGCUGGAGCGCAGUGGCGUGAUUUUGGCUCACUGCAACCUCUGCCUCCCGGGUUAAAACGAUUCUCCUGCCUCAGCGUCCCAAGUAGCUGGGAUUACAGGCUCCCACCACCAUGCCCGGCUAAUUUUUGUAUUUUUAGUAGAGACGAGGCCUCACCAUAUUGGCCAGGCUGUUCUCGAACUCCGGACCUUAGGUGAUCUGCCUGCCUCAGCCUCCCAAAGUGCUGGGAUUACAGGCGUGAGCCACCAUGCCCAAUGGGUGUGGGAUUUAGUAUAUUAAUGAGUGUAUAAUGAGGUCCUUGGUGAAACCUACAUCAAAUCCAGCACCGUGUUGGGUCCAGUCUGUCUUAGCCAGCUUGGUCCACACCCUGGUUUUUUAGGGUCUUAUUGGCCCCUUACUUCUGCAGCAAAAGUUUCCUUUUGCUAGUCAUGUGAAACUGCCACCUGGAAUUUUCUAUUCUCUAGUGACCACCCUGUAUUAUUCCUGUCUCACUGGGACCCUAAGAAAUUGGGAAUUCCAACUACACAUCCAAAAUAGUUUGACUAAAACUGUUGAAAAAAGAAAAAAAUAAUGGCAUAAAGUAUUGCUUGACUAAAUUCCAGCCAGGUGCAUUGGCCACUUUAGGUCGGGUGUGGUGGCUCAUGCUUGUAAUCCCAGCAUUUUGGGAGGCUGAGGCGGGAGGAUCACUUGAGGUCAGGAGUUCCAAACCAGUCUGGCCAAAAUGGUAAAACCCCCUCUCUACUAAAAAUACAAAAAUUAGCCGGACCUGGUGGCGGAAGCCUGUAAUCCCAGCUACUCUGGAGGCUGAGGCACGAAAAUUGCUUGAACCCAGGAGGUGGAGGUUGCAUUGAACCAAGAUCAUACCACUGCACUCUAGCCUGUGUGACAGAGAAAGAUUCCGUCUCAAGAAACAAAAA
rnacentral:lncRNA from 1 species